rnacentral:sRNA from 1 species
ACUUCGGUCGUUUCGAGCUGCGGCACGCGCACGAGCGCGUUCUGCAUCAGAAUCUC